GAUCUCCAGCUUGCUGGGGUGAUUAGUGGCGAACGGGUGAGUAACACGUGAGUAACCUGCCCUUAACUCUGGGAUAAGCCUGGGAAACUGGGUCUAAUACCGGAUAUGACUGACCGUCGCAUGGUGGUUGGUGGAAAGCUUUUUGUGGUUUUGGAUGGACUCGCGGCCUAUCAGCUUGUUGGUGAGGUAAUGGCUUACCAAGGCGACGACGGGUAGCCGGCCUGAGAGGGUGACCGGCCACACUGGGACUGAGACACGGCCCAGACUCCUACGGGAGGCAGCAGUGGGGAAUAUUGCACAAUGGGCGCAAGCCUGAUGCAGCGACGCCGCGUGAGGGAUGACGGCCUUCGGGUUGUAAACCUCUUUCAGUAGGGAAGAAGCGAAAGUGACGGUACCUGCAGAAGAAGCGCCGGCUAACUACGUGCCAGCAGCCGCGGUAAUACGUAGGGCGCAAGCGUUAUCCGGAAUUAUUGGGCGUAAAGAGCUCGUAGGCGGUUUGUCGCGUCUGCCGUGAAAGUCCGGGGCUCAACUCCGGAUCUGCGGUGGGUACGGGCAGACUAGAGUGAUGUAGGGGAGACUGGAAUUCCUGGUGUAG
rnacentral:rRNA from 1 species